CCCAAGAGAUCGGGAUAACACCUGGAAACAGAUGCUAAUACCGGAUAACAACAGAUGAUGCCUAUCAACUGUUUAAAAGAUGGUUCUGCUAUCACUCUUGGAUGGACCUGCGGUGCAUUAGCUAGUUGGUAGGGUAACGGCCUACCAAGGCGAUGAUGCAUAGCCGAGUUGAGAGACUGAUCGGCACAUUGGGACUGAGACACGGCCCAAACUCCUACGGGAGGCAGCAGCG
rnacentral:rRNA from 1 species